AGAGUUUGAUCCUGGCUCAGAUUGAACGCUGGCGGCAGGCCUAACACAUGCAAGUCGAGCGGUAGCACAGAGAGCUUGCUCUCGGGUGACGAGCGGCGGACGGGUGAGUAAUGUCUGGGAAACUGCCUGAUGGAGGGGGAUAACUACUGGAAACAGGUGCUAAUACCGCAUACGUCAUCAUUCCACAUGGAAAGAUGACAAAAGACGCUACGGUGUCACUGUUGGAUGGGCCCGCGCUGCAUUAGUUAGUUGGUGAGGUAACGGCUCACCAAGACCAUGAUGCAUAGCCGACCUGAGAGGGUGAUCGGCCACACUGGGACUGAGACACGGCCCAGACUCCUACGGGAGGCAGCAGUGGGGAAUAUUGCACAAUGGGCGCAAGCCUGAUGCAGCCAUGCCGCGUGUGUGAAGAAGGCCUUCGGGUUGUAAAGCACUUUCAGCGGGGAGGAAGGCGGUGAGGUUAAUAACCUCACCGAUUGACGUUACCCGCAGAAGAAGCACCGGCUAACUCCGUGCCAGCAGCCGCGGUAAUUC
rnacentral:rRNA from 1 species